GUGCACCAGUCGAGAAUACUUUACAAUGUGCGAAAGCACGAUAAGGGAACUCUGAGUGCCUCCUAAGGAGGCUGUUCAGGUGUCUAAAAGCACCUGAAGGAAGGGCUGGGUAAGACCGGUGCCAGCCGCCGCGGUAACACCGGCAGCCCAAGUGGUAGCCACGUUUAUUGGGUCUAAAGCGUCCGUAGCCGGCUGGGUAAGUUCCUUGGGAAAUUUGGCUGCUUAACAGUCAAGCUUUCAGGGAAUACUGCCCGGCUUGGGACCGGGAGAGGUCAGAGGUACUCCAGGGGUAGGGGUGAAAUCCAUUAAUCCUUGGGGGACCACCGGUAGCGAAGGCGUCUGACCAGACCGGGUCCGACGGUGAGGGACGAAGGCUAGGGGCGCGAACCGGAUUAGAUACCCGU
rnacentral:rRNA from 1 species